AACAUGAGUAUUUUGUGCCAUCAUGGAGGGAGGGGGGCACAGUGUGGAAUCUGAAAAACAAACAAACACUUUUUAAUGUCUGCGAGAAUGAAUACAACUCUGGCAGUGUCAAUCACAACUUCACGUCUCGUUUUGAAAUCCAACUCAUGAUCUGGUGGAGGUGUAACGUUGUGGUCAGCGUGCGUCGACGUGUGUGUGUGUGUGUCGGCUUAUUUUUCAGAGACUCCCCGAAGGUCCCCGCAUAUCCCCGGAGGCAUGUUUUUCAUCACGCAGCAGAACACAAUGAUCCCAAAAGCCUCUCAGAAUGUUUCAAUUCAUCUGCAAUGUGCGAACAAUAACUGCAAGGGGAGAACAACAUCCUGUAGUACCAGCGACAGCCUCAAGAGACGAGCGACGCUAAGAAGCAGCCGAGUGAAGUGGUCAGUGAAGAGCUUCGUAUGCAGACUGCUUGGCAGCUGCACAAUUGAAUGCGAUGGACACUGUCAGAAAGUGCCCACGGCCUCAGAUUGCAGACGUCGCAUGACCAAUCCCCCAACCCUCCCCCGAAAAACAGGUGAGAAUCCGAUUAAGCAUACGGUUGGUAAAGCAUGUACAAUAUGCGGAGGUAUCCGGUCGACAAACAGCCUUCUCAAGCUUGCACUUUGCACACAAAGGCACUUCCAGUCAGGAAGGUGUAGGUGUGCAGACCGAGGCAGGGUAAAGAUGGAUUUCCAAUCCGAGCCACUUUAUGCACGCGUCGUCACAUGGUGCAAAAACUUCCGGAUGGGACCUUCGACUGCUGUAAAUGGAGACGGUUGUGACUCGGGUGCUGCCUGGAUUCUUUCCAGUCAAUUUUACUUUGCCGGACUGGUUUCUCACCGAAACGGCAAUGAGGCCUAAGUAUUUGGGACUGUCCAUGUGCAGCGGGGCACAGUCAUGCUGGAACAGUAAAGGGCCUUCCCCAAAACCGUUUCCACAUUGUUGGAAACGACACUGUACCCAAGGUGACUAUAAAAACGAAGAAACCUUAGUGCACCCUGGCUGUUUUAUAUUCUUGAGCAUGUCUGGUUAAGCCCUCAAUUCUUACGACACUUCUUUUAAUUCCCCCUUCGAAACCGCCAAAGUUGUCUUGCGGUUCAUGCAAUAAAGUCACUUAAGUACCAACAGACGGGAUUUCACUACUUCUAAUGUCGUUUGUCAAUGGGUGCUUUCGUGGUAUCAAAUGGAUGAUAAAACUUCAUUGCUAGUUAGAAACACAAACGGCGGGGACUUGUGCCGGACCGUAAAGGGAUGAGCCAACGAAUACGAGACAGGAAGUGUUCUGAUUUGGGCCUGAGAAAGACACAUUUAAAAACAUUUAUUGGGUCCUAUUUCUUAUCACUAGAGCAGGGGGCCGGGGAGGGGGUCACCAACGUGAUGCCCGCGGACGCCACGUAGCCGGAACAACAUUGGGGAGUCUUUUCGAAAAGUCGCUGACCCGUCACCAAUGAUGGGACAUUGUGAUUUUCUGGGAAUGUUGUCGAAGGGAUCAUUUGAAUAUGUAAACACUGGCCGGAGAUUAACCAUUUGAGUGACAGUUUAUCAUGUGAUCAGGUUACCGGGUGCAUGAAAGGGUUAAUAGUGUCAAAUACGCGCAACUGGCCAUUUGGGUCGUUAGUAAUUCAAACAAAAUGGCAGAUUUGCUCAUUGCGCCUUUGUCCAUGUUUCUGAACGUGUUCAACAAAGAGUAGCGCAUGGGAAAGAAUAAUUGGCCUUUCUGUGUGGAGUUUGCAUGUUAUCUCCGUGCCU